rnacentral:rRNA from 1 species
AACGAACGCUGGCGGCAUGCCUAACACAUGCAAGUCGAACGAGACCUUCGGGUCUAGUGGCGCACGGGUGCGUAACGCGUGGGAACCUGCCCUUAGGUUCGGAAUAACUCCCCGAAAGGGGUGCUAAUACCGGAUAAUGUCUUCGGACCAAAGAUUUAUCGCCUUUGGAUGGGCCCGCGUUGGAUUAGCUAGUUGGUAGGGUAAAAGCCUACCAAGGCGACGAUCCAUAGCUGGUCUGAGAGGAUGAUCAGCCACACUGGGACUGAGACACGACCCAGACUCCUACGGGAGGCAGCAGUGGGGAAUAUUGGACAAUGGGCGAAAGCCUGAUCCAGCAAUGCCGCGUGAGUGAUGAAGGCCUUAGGGUUGUAAAGCUCUUUUACCCGGGAUGAUAAUGACAGUACCGGGAGAAUAAGCUCCGGCUAACUCCG